rnacentral:rRNA from 1 species
ACUCAAAUGAAUUGACGGGGGCCCGCACAAGCGGUGGAGCAUGUGGUUUAAUUCGAUGCAACGCGAAGAACCUUACCAGGGCUUGACAUUUUACUUUCCUUUUUGAAAAAAAAGGUGUACUGCUUUUCGAAGUAGAGGUAUAAACAGGUGGUGCAUGGCUGUCGUCAGCUCGUGCCGUGAGGUGUCGGGUUAAGUCCUUUAACGAGCGCAACCCUUGUCUUUAGUUGAGUCUAUGUUUUAUAAACAUAGAAUCCAAACUAGAGAGACUGCCGGUGAUAAGCCGGAGGAAGGAGAGGAUGACGUCAAGUCAGCAUGCCCCUUACGUCCUGGGCUACACACGUGCUACAAUGGCCGGGACAAUGAGAUGCAACCCUGCGAAGGCAAGCUAACCUCAAAAACCCGGUCUCAGUUCGGAUUGCAGGCUGCAACUCGCCUGCAUGAAGUCGGAAUCGCUAGUAAACGCUGGUCAGCCAUACAGCGUUGAAUAUUGUUCCCGGGCCUUGUACACACCGCCCGU